AGUAAAAAUUAUAACUUGCAAACACGAUUGGUCUUUUGAUAAUGUUUUCCUUUAUUUACGCUGCCAGCUUUCUCGCUUGCGCUGUCUGACUGCGGUUACGCUGCCAGCUUUCUCGUUUGCGCUCCCUGACUUUUUUAUGGCGUUAAAUUAGUGCCAAAACUCGCGCGCAUAAAAACCGAGUUUGUACAACAGCAAAAACAGGGACACUUACCAUUAAGUGGAUAUAUUUUUACAACAGCAAAAACAGGGACACUGAAGUUCAGUUUAUAUACCAGAUGGAUAUACGAAAGUAUUUUAAAAGAUUGAGGGAGAAGCAGGCCGGAGAGCGGCAGGGGAGCUGAUGCUGAGGGAGGAUGUACAGUAUGAUUAAGACUGGUGGAGCUUUACAGGGUGACAGUGUGACAAAAGCUCUGCAUGGCUGAGAACUGACAGGCCCCAGUGACUGGACUGAGAAAUCAGGUCGGAGCAUCGGAGCGAUUCGUCGUGAUGACAGCCCGCAAGGAAUUCCAUCCGUCAGCUCGGGAAUGCCAAGGCCGACAGCACCAAUCCCGGGAAAGCGAUCCUCCGCUUCCCGCCGAUUUCCAUUCGGGUCAAAUGGCACGGUGCCCUGGGCUAAUGCAGUCUCGCCUGGAGGUAUAGUGGGUUCAGAUACCAGGAGCCCUGGGGGGGGGCACCUAGCCUUUUUAAAGCCCCCCCUCGCCUCCUGAGGGCCCUGGUGACUGCGAAGGGAAGUCACACAAAGGGCCCCGUGGCACAUGAACCGUUCUGCAGCGUGGGGGGGUGGUUUGGGGCAAUGCAGCUUCGAGUAGGUCGUUAGUGCAGGUGCUCCCUGUCGCCCCCUAGUGUUUCACACUGUAGCGGGCCACUCCGCUGUCGGAUUGCUGUCCGAACUGCAAAAUUCAACAGCAAAGGGAACAGGGGCCGAGAGGGAGAGACACCAUAUCAGGGUGGCCAUUCCAGCAUUUUCUAUUCAGCCUGCAUCCGUGCGAUUUGUUUUGUCGCGGGUAACCGCCGCAUGGUUGCAGGGGACUCCACCGUCAUGUCAGAAACUAGAACAUUCUCCCUCCAAAACGUUCCAGCCAGGCAAGAAAAAAGACAAAAAAGCACAUGUAGUUCAGGAUCUUCAGAAGGAAUCUACUGCGUGGCUUCAAUUCGACUACCACGUUUGACAGGGAAUCUGAAACCCUUCAUCUGUCAAGGAAAGGCCAGAUGAGGGUGGAAAAUGUGGAAUAUGGAGUUAGUGUUCUUUAAGAUUUUGUACAAACUGGGUCAAAUCACUGCCUGAUAGUUGUGCCCCCCUGCCUACCCAGCUGUGAAAACAUAACGUUCUAGUGGUUGUUAUGCCGGUUCACCUCAGAGACCGUACAACUUUAUAGAGACGUAGGGUGAGCAGUAGCAUGGAUUGGAUUGAUUAGGGCGGACCGAGCAGCAAUAAGCCAUCAAGAGUGUUUAAAGCUUCAGAGGAAGGCUCCAGCAUUAUCUAGGGGGACGGGAUGCGAUUGAAUGUGAUGCCUUCUGGCAGCAAAUCAGUGCCUAUUGAAGGUUUUAAGGCGAUGGUGACCAUGAAUAAUGGAGACCUUAAGUCAGCCAAUGAAAGCUAAAUUGAACCAAUUUACCUUCCUUGAUUUGCCACGUUUUCCCGUGGAUCUUCGCAGGGCCCUGUGCAUCCACCAGCGCACGGGCUGCUGAUCAAGUUCAGGCGCAUGAGGGCCCAAUCUGCGCUGCCGUUUGGGGAGCCAGGGGGCACGGCGCCAGUAGCGUUAGCUUAGCGCCGCACUACCGGCAGAAUCCCACAGACAGGUUCAAUUCACACCUUCAUAAGCGGGCUGGGGGGUGUACGCUGCUCCAGUUCAAUGCCUCAAUCUGUUACCCCUCCCGUGGUGAUGUCAAGGACCCUCAGUCUUGUCACGCUGCUAGAUCCAUUACCCCCCCCUCGCAGUACUCUCUUUUUCCAAUAAGCUCUUAAUGAGAACCAGCCCAGGGUCUGCAAGGGAGCAGAGGGGGAUGACCUGAAAUCCAACAUUACGCCAUGCGCAGGACUGCUCAGGCGCCCUCAGAGGACGAGCUGAUAAACAAAACACACCCGUUCAACUGUUUACCGCUUAUUAGCAGUAAAAAGGAUCUAAUUAAGGCAUUAGAGUCCCCAUUAAAGGCGCUGGCAGUCCUUUAAGGUUGGGAAACCUGCAGACACGUCCUUUAAAGUCUCCACGGGGAUUUGCGUGCGUUUGCCAUGUUCUGGCUGCAUUACUGCAGCAUAAUGUGUAGCACAAAGCCAAAAUCUGCAUUUCAUUAAAAGUGUGGCACAUGCAGCUGUGUGAAAAACACGGAUACGGGUGAUUCCAGGGGAACUUCAGCUCCAUUGUCUAUGAUGACAGGGUUUGUACUGGGAAGAUAGGGGAGCAUACAUAUACACGAAAAGGUACCCUGCCGGACAGCGUUCACACCAUGCUGACACUCUGAGGGGCUAUUUCUGGCUGGCUGCCACCCAUUUGCCUUUUUUAAAACAAAUUAAUGGGGGGGUACAUGACAAUAACACGUCGGGGGGGGGGACAUACAUCGGGAGAGAGACCACAAGGGUAGGAGUCUCAUUAAGCUUAUUAGUUACCUUUAGUGUGUUUUUCAUUGUAGUAAUGACUAACAUGCAUUAAGACAGCAUCUCAGCAUCAGCAGGCACCGGUGAGGUAAACAAGACGCAGAUACAGAAAGAUUCCAUCGUUCACAUGGCAACCGGAGGAUUGUGAGCAUAUUGCAGCAUCACGGGGUUUGCUGUGGAGCUUAUAGUGUAAGGAGGCUCCAGCAUCGUGCUCCAGGAUGUCCCAACGCAGACGGCACCCCCAUUGGCGGGAUACAGCAGCCGGAAAUGUGCUACAGCUGCGGGUGAGCAUUAAUCUACAGAGCAGGGAUGGAGAGCGAUGGGAAGUGCCUUGGAUUCCUGAAUGACAUGCUCUCCAGUGCAUGGGGAGGAUCUUAGACACCAUGGGAGGACAAAAGCAAACAGUGGGGUGUGACAAAGGAAACCAGAACGAGAGGAUGGGUGACAGACCCAGGAAACUGGAUCGAGGGGACGGUGGACAGACCCAGGAAACCAGCACUUGGAGAUGGG